CCAAUUCAGGAGUCAUUACUACGUCUUCAAAAGUAUCUUCGUGAACUCGGUAGACCGAAUAUGCAAAGGUCGCGAAGGCAAACGCGCCAAGACCUAGGGCCGUAAUCAAAUUAGCCCUGCGAAAUGGUUUUCUUGCAUUUUCAAAAGCUUGAUUACCCUGGUUCAUAAUAUAAUGGUUCAGAAAAGCAACCUAGUCGUACUGAAAUGUGCUUUGUAAAGGGAAACUAAUAAUUAUGU